rnacentral:rRNA from 1 species
UACAGAGGGUGCAAGCGUUAAUCGGAAUUACUGGGCGUAAAGCGUGCGUAGACGGUUAUGUAAGUCGGGUGUGAAAGCCCCGGGCUCAACCUGGGAAUUGCAUUCGAGACUGCAUAGCUAGGGUUCGGAAGAGGGAAGCGGAAUUUCCGGUGUAGCGGUGAAAUGCGUAGAUAUCGGAAGGAACACCAGUGGCGAAAGCGGCUUCCUGGUCCAGAACCGACGUCAGGCACGAAAGCGUGGGGAAGCAAACAGGGAU